rnacentral:rRNA from 1 species
UACGUAGGGAGCUAGCGUUGUUCGGAUUUACUGGGCGUAAAGGGCGCGUAGGCGGCCACCGCAAGUCGACUGUGAAAUCUCCGGGCUUAACCCGGAAAGGUCAGCCGAUACUGCGGGGCUAGAGUGCAGAAGGGGCAACUGGAAUUCUCGGUGUAGCGGUGAAAUGCGUAGAUAUCGAGAGGAACACCUGCGGCGAAGGCGGGUUGCUGGGCUGACACUGACGCUGAGGCGCGAAAGCUAGGGGAGCGAACGGG